GUAAAAUGUAGAUUUUGGCUUGUAACUCUAAAACCAAAGCAUUUAGAGCAAAUCUGACAUGAAGUAAAAUUGUUUAUCAGGUCAAGAUCUAUCUGCCCUGAAAUUUUCAGAUGAAUCGGACAACCUGUUGUUGGGUUGCUGCCCCUGAAUUGGUAAUUUUAAGGAAAUUUUGCUGUUUUUUGUUAUUAUCUUGAAUAUUAUUAUAGAUAGAGAUAAACUGUAAAAAGCAAUAAAUGUCGGCAAAGUAAGAUCUACAAAUAAGUCAACAUGACCGAAAUGGUCAGUUGACCCCUUUAGGAGUUAUUGCCCUUUAUAGUCAAUUUUUAACCAUUUUUCGUAAAUCUUAGUUAUCUUUUACAAAAAUCUUCUCCUCUGAAACUACUGGGCCAAGUUCAAUAUAGAUAGAGAUAAUUGUAAGCAGCAAGAAUGUUCAGUAAAGUAAGAUGUACAAACACAUCACCAUCACCAAAAC
rnacentral:lncRNA from 1 species